GUAUUGGUGGUUCAGUGGUAGAAUUCUUGCUUUCCACGCAGGAGACUGGGGUUCGAUUUCCGGCCAGUACA